AUUGAACGCUAGCGGGAUGCUCUACACAUGCAAGUCGAACGGCAGCGCGGACUUCGGUCUGGCGGCGAGUGGCGAACGGGUGAGUAAUGUAUCGGAACGUGCCCAGUAGCGGGGGAUAACUACGCGAAAGCGUAGCUAAUACCGCAUACGCCCUACGGGGGAAAGCAGGGGAUCGUAAGACCUUGCACUAUUUGAGCGGCCGAUAUCGGAUUAGCUAGUUGGUGAGGUAACGGCUCACCAAGGCGACGAUCCGUAGCUGGUUUGAGAGGACGACCAGCCACACUGGGACUGAGACACGGCCCAGACUCCUACGGGAGGCAGCAGUGGGGAAUUUUGGACAAUGGGGGCAACCCUGAUCCAGCCAUCCCGCGUGUGCGAUGAAGGCCUUCGGGUUGUAAAGCACUUUUGGCAGGAAAGAAACGUCGCGGGCUAAUACCCCGUGGAACUGACGGUACCUGCAGAAUAAGCACCGGCUAACUACGUG
rnacentral:rRNA from 1 species